GGCUGGGCGACAGAGCCAGACUCCGUCUCAAAAACAAACAAACAAACAAACAAACAAACAAAAUGACAAUUUCUUUGGAUUAGGAAUUCGGGAGUGGCUCUGCUGGUUCGGUCUGGCUUGGGGUCUGUUAUGAGGUCACAGUCAGAUGGUGGCUGGGCCUGAUGUCGCCUAGAAGGCUUCUUAACUCACAUGUCUGAUGUCUGUACUGGGAUGCCUUCAACCGCUGGUGCUGGAACAGCUGGAGUUGCUUGGACAGUUCUCUCCUUUAUCCCUUUGUGGGCUUUCCAUAAAGUCUCUCCAACAUGGCGGCUUCAAGGCACUGCUCUGUUUAAAAUAGAAGGUGCAAUUAUCCCCAGCAAACUCCUGUUCAUCCUUAAAGACACCACCUCCAGAAAGUCUCUUCAGGAUCAACAAGCUGGAUUAACACAGAGAACAUGAUUGAAAACUAUUUUUAUUUUUUUAUCCUACAAAUAUUUGUUGAGGACGUUAUGUGUCAGGCCUGUAGUGUGAGAAGAUAAUUAAAGGACAUCAUCAUGAAGGCAG